GGCAACGAGUCAGUCAGUGUAAUCCAUACACUUUCACACCUUUUCACCUUGGUCUAUGCUGAAGGUCACCUCAAGCAGUUGCACCACAGAGCCUGGACAGUGUGAAGUGGCUGGACAAGAUGGUAACAACUCUUCAGGUGCCAGCAUGUCUCCACCACAUUAACUCAUGAGCCUGCUAGGCUUGGGAUAUCCCUUUGACUGAUCAGGCAGUUGGUAUAAACAAACUACUGGCUGAGAAGGUUUAGAAAUAAACUUUUCUCACAGUAGAUUCUCCCUAACAGCUUUUCUUACAUCUUCUUCUGAAGUAUCUUAAGUUGGUCCUCACUGGUGUUCCCUCAUCUGUGCCGAAAUCCCGAAGUGGGAAAGUCAAGGUAUUCAUGCAGAUGAUAAGAGUGGCCAUUCAAAAUGGGUGGUGCUAAUGACCUACAGCCCUUUCUCACCUUAGUGACUGCCUGGGCUACAUUUAGCAAACUGCCACGUCAGUGACUGCUGCCUGUCGACUACUGUCACCUCACCUCUGUCCUGAUGGACUGGCAGAGAGCAGAGGGGGAGUGGAGGACCCAAGGGCACCACAGUCACCCAAGUCUGUAGGAUGAGGCACCCACUCAAGGCACCCUUGGAAGAAGAGUAAAGUAAGGAUUCCCCAAAGAUCUGAGGUUUAUUGUGCUUCCCCUGACUCCCCCUGGACCACUCUGUGUUCAUCCUGCAAGGUGGAAGAAUGCACUGACCCCAAACUGUAUUCCAAGCAUUCCACCACUUAAAUAGUUUUAAAAGGAAUAGCAACAGCUAAGCACCAAGCACCAGAUUCUUUGUGAUGAUUUAGCUGAAGGAAUACCAGACAUGUAACGGGAUCUCUAAGUUUUGCAGUCUGCAAAAACAUUGGCAGCACAUGCCAAGAUCUUCAGUUUAUGUUCUCAGGUUGCCACAAUAUCAUAUACUCUUUUUUUUUUCUUUUUUUUCAGUAGCACAGAGAUAAACUGUGUUUGUGGGAGUUGUUAUUCCUAUUUAGCUUUGCGCAUUGGUGAUGCUGCCAAGCGAGAAUGCAUAGGGCUUCAGGCAGUCUUAAUUUCUUGAGCCAAACCUGAACUCUAGAAAAUCAGACUUGGACCAGCAGUGUUUGUAUAGGACAGCAUGUGGUCCUUCUGCUCUGGUAUGUGAGGUAAAAUUUCAGCACAUAUCUGCAAUGUCUUCACAAUGUCUCCGAACUGCAUCUUACCUUCUGUCCAUAUCUCAUUCAGCUUCACUACUGUAAUGCUAUGGUAAGUACCCUAAGGUCAACACAGUUAAUUACUUUUGGUAGAACUGGGAUCAAUAUCUGUCAUUCAUAUGCACUUUCCACUCUCCUGAAUAAUUCUUUAUGGGCUGCCAGGGUCUCUUCGCUGGUGGGCUGGCUUUAAAACGUUUCUCUUCUUGGUAGUAAACUGCCUUUUCCAAUGUUUCCUCUGGUAAUAUCUAGAUUUUGUAGGCCACCUUCAUAGGUGGUCUAAUUUAGGCCAGAUGCGCAAACUUGUUAAUGUGUCCAUGAUGAUAUAUAAAAGCUCUACAUUUAGAAAUGCCUAAUAGGGUAUUUCAAUAGUAAAAAAUAAAAAGAAAAAAAUAAAGGAGUAAACUAAAUCUCUGUUCUAUAAGAGCACGCGACACCAGUAACAGAACUCUGACAAAGGUGCGUUUUGCUGACUGCUGAAACCAGCAUCAGGUCUUAGACACAACAACCUAGUGGAAAGCCACACUGACAGUAAAUAGUCCCAAAUACAGAUGCCCAAUUCAGUGCUUAGAAGCUCAGAGAAGUUUGAGAUCCGUGCUCAGCAAAUCACUCCAGGUUUGGUUGUCAUAUUCAUUGGGAUAACACCUCAGGAAACUGAGGAAUGCAUUUCUGCCCAUCCUAUUUGAAGCAUUCUACUUGUAAUCCUAAAAUUCCUUUCUCCUUUUCAGAGAAGCCAUUUCUGACCACAAUAAAAUACUUACUGCAGUGGCUGAAGGUAUUUGGCAGUCUUGCUGAGUCUGUGUCCUUUUGGGAUGAUGGACCGAACCUGGCAUCAUUCUCAAUAAGCAGAGGGUUUGUGAACACUGUCCAGUAAACUCAACUUUGCAUACCCAUUGAGCUUAGCUACCUAAGGAGACCACUCCAGUCCAAGGGGCAGUAGGUACAAGACUAAAUUGGCUGCAAAUUGCAGCAAUGCUUUGUUCUCAGUUGUGUUGCUGUAAAUCUGGAAUAUCUCUGCAAUUCGCUUGGUGCAACCCAGACUGACUGCUAUGAGUGGGAUUAGAUUCUGUAGGUCUUGAAUGGCCAUGGAUUCCCCCAGACAAAAUGGAAAUAAUUGAAAACACCUGUAAAUGCUUAUCUGCUUUCUCAAAAUGUCCCCACCAUGUAUUAAGCAGGGAAAUAGUUCUUUUGUAGUAUUUGCAGGGCAUAGAAACUCAGGAGGGUCUCUACAUCCUUUCAUGUGAAUUUGUGACACUCGGUUUUCUUCCUCAGAGAUGUUUCCCACUCAGUCGAUUUAGCAGACUGGACUUGUUUGCUGUCCUGUGCUGCAUGAUCAAUUUCCAUUCCUUACCUAUCAGAUGUAGCAAUUGUCCUCUAGCAACCCUUUAAUGCAGAAACUCUCAGAUCAUACUGCAUGGAGAUCUCCUGACCUGUACACUCUCAUCAGAUGUGAUGGUCGGCCACUGCAGCAGACUUUCAGAGACAACCAGCGGACUCCUGAAUGACCAGUUCUGGACAGCAGAACUAUCCCACCUGGUGCACCACUUCUGUGGAAGUGUCUUCAUGGUGGCAGAGGAGGUGAGGUGACCAGCUGUUCAUAAAAUGCAUGAAAUUAAUUAAAUAGCAAAUUCUUCCCAACCUGUAAUCACUUAAGCACUGCCUCCCCCCAUGUGGGACGUGAAGGCUGACAUCCUGUGAUACCAGAACUCAGAUAUUCCCCAAAACUGUCUUAAAGUUAUGAAGCCACCCUUCAUAACAUGAAGGCUAUGGUGAACGUACUUGAAAAGAAGCCAGAAGAGGGGCAGAACAUGGGGUUCCACCCACUUCAACAUUUUAAUGAUUUUUUUUGAAGGACACAGAGACUGAAACCCAAAAUUUAGGUAAGAACAUCCCAGAGUUUGCAAUAUUUGAAAUUCCUGAAAACUUUGCCAAUUCAUUCUUUCCUUCUAGAGCCAGAAAAUAAAUCGCCAGCCUCAAACUCACCCUUUCCCUUCCUGCCCCACCCCAAAUGAGACAGUCUAAACUUAUAUCUGGAAUAAAGCAAGUAACUGGUUUACAAGUACAUUUUUUUUUCCUUGCCACUGCUCUAUCAGUACAUGUGGGGAGCUAGAAACAAAACCAGAAUAAACCCACGAACUUAACUCAGGUUUCUCUGCCAAACAGAACGAAAGGAUGAAAACAUCACCUGGCUGGCUAUUCAGCAGGGACACCCGGAGCUAACCUCCAUGAGCUCUCAGCAUAAUCUUUUUCCUUAAAGCGAUCUCCAACCGCCACAGAUUGGUGUAGCACUAUCCUAAUUUACCCCAGAUGGAGAUCUCUCUUUUUCCCCCCUUUCUUCCUUCCUUUCACCACAAAUUUUACCCAAGCCCAGACUCGGAGAGCCUCUGGCACCAUUCCUGUAAGCAGGCAGAGUUUACAAUAUUCAGAAGCUGCGGUAAACAGUCUGAAGAUAGAAAUGUUCACUGCCGAUCCAGUGAGGAUUUGCAAUAUAGCAGGAGCCUUAUGACAAACCAUGUGAGCAGAAGCAGAUGACUGUAACAGCACCGCAUCGCUAUACUAUUUUCGCACAUUCGAGCUACGAUUUGUAAAAUAGCCAGUUGCCCAGAUGGCUCACAGAACUGAAAAUACUCAAAAAAUAUAAUUUCAGGAUUUUAAAACUAACUAUGACUUUUCUACAAUACUUUUACCUUUUUUGUUGUUGUUGUUCCCUACAUAUUAUACUCAAUUUCACUAAUAAUGCCUUUUUUAUUUGCCUUCCUGCUUGCAUGUCCUUUUAUUAAUUUACUGUACAUAUAGUAAAUGCUGUUUUUUUAACUAAUGUUCUUGUCAAAUUAAGCUUGAUAUCACUCUCUUGACUUCAGCAAUUUGAUGUCUGUGAGCUGAGCUGAUGUAGACAGCAGAAUAAUGUCAAUACUUUGUACUCUUUUGGUCACCCAUCUUCCGUAAUCCUACAUAUUAUUCAAACUACAGUACCAAAGUGCUACUACACCUCUUGUCCUCCUAAAGACUGAGCAUACUCCUGAAGUCCAACUUCUUUUGUUAUUGCCCUUUUCACAUGUUUUAGCACAGAACUGUAAAUUUAAGCAGCGCUCUGGACUAACACUGAUUUAAUCAUGGUAACACUUUGUGUUCUCACAAUGCUCUGCAUUUCCAAAGGACUGUUUAAGCAAUAAUUAACUCAGCAUGGGUGUUGGUGUAAAGCAGGUGGGUCCGUAUUUGCUGUGGCUGCGCAACAGAAGGGGAAAGCUCAGCGGUGAGGCUCAGCGAGCUGUAGCAGGAUCCCAGGUGCAAGAUCUGGUCCCACCAUGAUCCUGAGCCGAGCUUCAGCAGCGCUUCCUGGGGAACAAACAGGGCAAGCAGCCCAAGCAGAGCCCUGCGAUGAUGCAGCUCUCCAUUGCCACCCAACACAACUGCUGCAUGAUGGUGUUGGGCCACUUGUAUCUUCUGUGUGCCCACCCUCCAGAAGACAAAGGAGGAGACUGUGCUUAUUGAAAAGAAAAGCCACUGGAUAGAGAAGGGAUUUUUUCUGUCAAGAUACUAGUAUAUAAAAUAUUAUGACAAGAUGUAACUUUCUCGAACAAUGGGAGAAACAGCAGAGCACAGGGUUGAGCAUGACCAAUGGCAAGGUUCAAAUGUAAGGGUAACCAGGGAAGCAUCCUCAAACAGGAUCCCAUGAGACUUCUUUACUUUCUGUUAUUUGUUCCAGUAUUUAAGGGUGGCCAUGCAGAAGACGGAGAUUCCCUUUUCACAAGGAAUCACAUAGAAAAGAUGAGGGGCAAUGGGUACAAGUUACUCCUGGGAAGAUUCCAGAUGGACACAAGAGGGAAAUUUUUCACGGUGUGAACAAUAAGCCAUGGGAAUAAUCUCCCCAGAGAAGUGGUGGAUUUCCCAACAUUGGACACUUUCAAGAUUCAGCUGGACAGGCUGCUGGGCCAUCUUGUCUAGACUGUGCUCUUGAUGAGAAAGGUUGGACCAGAUGACCCUUGUGGUCCCUUCCAACCCAGUAUUCUAUGAUUUAACAUUUUAAAAUAUGAUAUGGAAACAAAAUAUAUUUAAUAAUGUUGAUAUAAUAAAUAUAUGUGUAAUAACAACUAAUGAGAACAGCACACCACUGACAAAGUAAAUAUCUAACAACAACAAUUGGUUUUAUAUGCAAGCUGGGGGGUGCUAAGGAAAACAAUUACUAAGGCCAGGCAUGGAUAAAUAAAAAGUUGUAGCCAAAAGCAAAUGAAGCCAAAAGGAUUGAAUGAACAUAGAAAUGCUGAGUAGGAGUCCAGAGGUUAUAGUUCCUCUGGCACGACUGUCCAGCUUUGGUGGCAACAUUUUAAGAGGAAUUUCAAAAAAAUGGAUAGAGUUCAGAUAAAAGCUCUGGGAACAAUCAGAAGACUAGAAAUAUGGUUGGAAUACUUAAAGAGAUCAGUCUGUUCGGCUAGGAAAAAAGAGACUAAAUGGUGCCUUGAUGAUACCUUAUAAGUUUCUUCCAUGCAGCAAGUGGAACAAAAAAGAGUUCACCACUCUCACGGACAAACCUGCAACACGAUCCAAUGUCUUUAAGCUGACAUUUGACACAUUCAGAAUAGAAAGAUUAAUUUUAAUAGUGAAAGGGUUAAUAACUGGAACGACUCGCUAAUUGCUAUGGAGAAUUCUCUGUCAAAAGAAAAUAUAAAAUCAGGACUCACGUGUUUUGUUGUUUGCUUUUUUUUUUUUUUUUUUUUGUAAAAGUCAUGCCCUAGUUGUGGUUGAUUCACGGGAGUCACAGCUGCAUAGAUUCUGGCUUCAGUGAGUGACCAGAAGUUGUAAUAAACCUGUGUUAUGCAGGAGAUCAGACACUUGAUAUAACUUCUAAGCUUUACAGUCUCUCAACUGAGAAACCCAGCAGAUGACUGUUCUCCAGUUACGUGAGCACCGGGGUUUGUAGGUGUAUCCUGAAUUGCAGCUAACUCUCAAGGUAAGAUGCAGCUAAUAAUAACUCCAUUCCUUCUCAAAGCACUAAAAAGCAUGGAAAGGUAGAAAUUCAUUGGAUUCUGUGCACUAUCUUGGGCUUUUUAGGGUAAAGAUCUAUUUUAAAAGUGGUAUACAUUUCUUCUUUCACCAUCCAAAAGUUAGCAGUAAGAUUCAGUUGCAGAUUGAGACCUCUUUAUGAGGGUGUCUGCAUGCACAUGUGAACUGGGUGUCCACGUUCUUCCACACCCUAUUGAGAUGUAGAGUCUUUAUUCACACGGACAAGUAUUUGAGACAUCCCAGGGUAUGCUGCCUAUCCUGCAGCUGCUUUUCCAGAAGGUCUCAGCUCUGCCUCCUAUCUACCCAGCCUGUGUGGGUAUAUUGAUGUUGUAAAUCAUCACAAAUGGCACUUUAUGUCAUGUGUGGCAACCAAAUCUUAGUGCAGCCAAUGGAAUCUAGAGACUGAUUCACAUCACCUUAAAGUGUAUCUGUAUGUGCCCACCUGAAUCUCCCUCCAGGAUCCAUUGAUUGCACUGAAUAGAUCUCCCCUGAUUACAGUUUGGAUGCCCAACUCAUAUGUAGUUGAUUUCUAAAAGCAGAUGUCUGAGUCUGCAGCUGGCCCGCACCUUUGAGGUUCAGUUUGGUUUGGUUUGAUUGCCCAUCAUAAACAUCUUGCGCUACAUGAUGUGUCCUUGACUGUCCUGCCUUCCAGCCAUCACUCAUUAGGGCGCUCAUGUCCAUCAGCCUCAUUCAGGUGUUUCACAUGCCCUAAAGAGUCUCAAAUGGCACCAAAUACUGUCCUCAGGUAACCUAAUAAUGACUUAGUAGUCCCCAUAAGGUAGCUGUCUAGGUUGUCUAGACCACUGAUGAAGAACAAGAAGUACAUUCAGAAAGUGAUCAAUCCCAUCUGUUUCAGGCAGCUCUUUUAGGAUCGCUUGUCUUACAGCACAACAGCAUCACAAUGCGCUACUGGUUUAAUCUAAUCUUAGACAUUACAUGCAAAACCUUUUGUACAACUCUAUUUUGCUCACUUUCUUUCCACAUCUUCUCAUCUGAGAACCUGCCUCACAUUGGCAGAACAAUUUCCUGUGGUCCAGCAAUUGGCCAAAUCAGUCAAUUAUGAGUUGACAUUUGUGACUUACUUUUUUUUUUUUCCUUUCAGUGGGAUGGGAAUAAAUUGCUGAGAAAAUGCAAAUGGCUCCAGGCAUCUUACAAAGGAGUCAAUCCUAUAUUCUGGCUGUAAACCUAUGACAACGGAUCUGGAGAGAUGAUCAGCGUACGUGCUCCUGCACAGCACAGCAAUGCCAGGAAUCCCUCCACCUUGCUGAGUUUAUUUUGUUUUCUGUCUGACAAGGUCUACAUUGGUCAAAGGCAUGUCUCUGUUUCCUCUGGGCUGGAGGACACGGGUCAGCCUCUACAAGGGACUGGAGCAGCACCAAGGACAACCUAAAGGGAACCCCAUGCAGGUUUGCAUAUGCUUAUUUGUGCUGAGGAUGAUCAGCUUGUAGGAAGCAUGUCAUUCACUGGAUGCUACUGGAACUUGCUCAAAAAUUAAUUCCACGUCUAGAGUCUGAACCAAGGCAAGUGAAGGUCACCCGAAAGUCUUUUAGUGACUUCAGAAGAAUGCUAGAUACUUUGUGCAUGUAAGAAAAAGAAAAAAAAAAAGAAUGGCAGAUUAUGAGCAUUGGCCCUGAACCAUCAGUUAUUCACUGCAUGUUGCGGUGGUCAAAGCACCAGCUUCGUGGCGAACAUGGGACAGGCCAGGUUCAUGAGUACUGAGAGGGCAGGGACUUUUCCACACAAAGUUCUGAGGGCCCUGAGCUGGGGCUGGUGGAGCAGCUGUAAUGGAUGAGCCCAGCACUGAGAGCCAAAGGGUUCCCUGGGGCUUUCUCGCCAAUGUGUCCCUUGCGGGCAGAUUUCAUCAGAUGCAAUUUAAAAGAUAUCAAGCUCUUUCCUAACUUCAUUUGUCUGUAUAAAUAACUGCUGCAGUUGACAAAGGGCCAUUCCGGGAUCACGAAAGGGAUGGGAACUAGUACUCAGAGCUGGAAACGGGAGGACAGACUUGACACAGCAAUGUUUUUCCCAGGCAAGCUGUCUGGGGCAUUCUUUAAGCCUCUGCAGCACCCUGAAUCCUCAUCACCUCCUGCAACGCUGGCAGCCAGGCCAGGUGCUGAUCAUCUUCCACUUGGUACACGGAUGGAGGAUUUCAGCUGUCCUUUUGAUACACAGGGGUUUGGGACUCAUUGCUACUCAUCCUGUGCUACUAUCCUCUUUAUGUCUAUUAAAACCCAUACCAAUCACCUCCACUUUACCAGUCUGCAUAACCUCCUUACUGCAGCAGCAUCACCAAGGCUCAGAACAUUAAAUGUCUGCCAAAACAGUCUCCACUGCACUGUGGCUCCUGAUUUCUCCUGGCUAUACCAAGACAAGACUCACCAACACCAAGACUUGGGUUUUCUUCCUGCCUUGGACCCAUGGCUGGAGAGUGGCUACCAAAGCUGGCCUCAAGUGAGCUAAAGCCUUAGGGGCUGAUCUGCCCAGAGCCCUGGGGAGACUCAGCCAUCCCUCUCAUGGUGUACAGAGCUGGGCAUCAGGACAUGGCCAUGGAACAACCCAGGAGCCAUGGGGUGUCCCCAGGCCAUGCUGACUGCAGUACUAGGAGGGCAUGGCUAUAUGCGCAGGACACAUCUACAGUAUUAGCAGGGAUACUCGCACCUAGGCUAAGAAGGGAACACGAAGGUCACAGUCAGACGCAAGUAAACCCUGAAAUACCAAUAUACUGUAAGGCUUAGACUCAUCCUGUAUCACCCACACUUAAAGGAAUUUCCAGUGAUGCUUCAGGUGUCCAACAGGCUGAUUUACCCUUUGGAAAGGUCCAUCCCUUCCAGCUCACUGCAAAGGGAGUCUGGCCUACCUGUGGUCCUAACUUAAACACCUCUGCUCUGCACAUAACUUAGGUGAGCUGAAUAAUGCCCCAGAGUUGUUAAUGAAACUGUUCAAACAUGCACCGAACUCCUGGGAGGAAAAUGUUUGUUCAUUCCUUGAUCCCUUAUCUGGUCCACUGCAAAUGCUAAAACAGGCCAAGGAAUCUGGCUGAAGAAUAGUGAUGGACUAGGAACAGAGAUUAGCUUCGUGUGCCAAACAGGGGCUCUUGAUGUAGUGGCAUUUUGAAACAGAUUGCAAAAGGGUAUCAACCACAAAGAAAGAUGCUUUUGAAAGAAAGCCUGAGCCCUUCUUUCUAAUAUAAAUUCAGUUUUGAAGUUGCCCGAGCGCCUUUUCUUUUUUCCUACCUCACUCCUACACAACGGACAAAUGUAGAGUAUACACAGGGGAACUGCAGGACCCUCUAAAUAAUUCUUGAACCCAUUUGUGUCCCUCACCACGUUCUAUGCUUCAGCAACUACAGCAGAAGGGACCAGAUGCCUUCUAGAGAAGCUCAUAGCAAAACGCUGCCUGUUGCACAUAUUCAACAAAAAAUAAUUUGUGGAUUUUUUCAAAUAAUGUUUACAUCCAAGGACCUGCUUUAUUUGCAACAACUAGGUAGAAAUAUAAAUAAGAAGGAUUUCUCGUAACAGUGUCUGUUAUAAAAGUGCUAUUAGU